UACGAAGGGGGCUAGCGUUGCUCGGAAUCACUGGGCGUAAAGCGUGCGCAGGCGGUUUUGUAAGUCUGUCGUGAAAGCCCCGGGCUCAACCUGGGAAUUGCGAUGGAGACUGCAAGGCUUGAAUCUGGCAGAGGGGGGUAGAAUUCCACGGUGUAGCAGUGAAAUGCGUAGAGAUGUGGAGGAACACCGAUGGCGAAGGCAGCCCCCUGGGUCAAGAUUGACGCUCAUGCACGAAAGCGUGGGGAGCAAACAGG
rnacentral:rRNA from 1 species